UGGAGCAUGAUUGUCAGGUUUCAUAAACUGCAUUCUGCUCCUCACAGGGAAGUCCCUGCAAAGCUAAAGCAAUAAGAUGCAUACAGAACAGCAAAAAUAAUACUGUUGCCAAUGCAUCAUAAGGAUGGGGAGACCAUAACAAAUAAAAAGGAUGGUCUGCAAUAAACAAGUUGAGAGAUGAAAAGCAGAUUGAAAACAACAACGACAACUUUGUAAAUGUUAGGCAGCUUAGCCGUGUGUGAAGUCAAAAAACUAGAGACGACACCACGUCAAAGUGCCCAGCACCCGGUGCACACUCAGGGGAAGAAACGAAUGAGUGAAUGAGCUGAUGAAUAAAGCGACCAACUGGACUGCGGACCAGAGACAGCAUGCUCUCCGCACACUGUAUCUAUCGAAAGGCAAAGCCAGGUUCCGGGGCAGGGCAGCUUCCGGCGGUGACACACCUGAGACACACAGUCUAGCUUCACGAGGAAGACAGUGGAAGAGGGCAGGGGCGGAAGGCCGCAGAGCAAGGUUCCAGCCAGCUUCAAAUGGAGAUGCCGGGGCGGUGCAUCCAACACUUCCCUCCUUAAUUCACAGGGAAAAUGCCGGGGACAACCCCAUGCGGAUUCUGCAGGACUGAAACUGAGUCGUCCAUGACCUGAUCACAUUUAGUUCCUUUGACACCUUUGUACCUUGUUCCUCUGUGCCUGUCUCCUUCCACCAGACUAUAAAUUGUUGAAGGAUAUGAACUUGUCCUUGAAAGAAGGUGGAAAACAUUUAUGGAGCUUCCAAGAAGAUGGAAUGAGUUGAUUUUGUCACAGUAUUGCGAGGCGUUACAGUUGUGUGUGGUGACAUACCAGGGACAGUUCUGGGAAACGCAUCAUUAGUGAUUUUGUUAUCCUGCAAUCACCAUAGAGUGCAAUUGCACAAACCAAGAUCUGGGGACGUCGCCAGGCAGAAUCACAUCCUCGGAUCCCUGCUGAUGCAUAUUCCAGUGCUUCUCCUCCGCAGAAGAAACAUGCCUGGACCUCCCACACCUCCCUGCCCCAGCCCCGCCCUGCCCAGCCCCGCAUGGUGCCCCAUCCUUGUGCUGUAGGGAUGGAGUGGUCUCCUCAGGUCAUGAUUCGCACCUGUCCAGCUCACAACUAAGGCUCCUGCCUACACAGCCUCUGGUUCUCCCCAGCUCCAUCCCUGUUGUCUGCAUUGUUUCCCCUGCUCUGAGGGAGGUGGAAGACACAGUGAGGUGCUCUGGGUGCAAACUGCCUGGGUUCGAGUUUCAGUUGUGCUGAAUUUUUUGCUGUAUCAUUUUGGGCAAAUUAUUAAGCACUGAAUAUAUCAAUCCCUUCAUUGGCAGAAGGAGUUAAUGACUAUCUUCUUAAUUGGAUGACUGUUUGGGUUCAAUCAUUAACACAUGCACGCUCAGAAGUGCAUCUGGCACACGGAGAAUAGUCAGGAAAUGGGAGAAGCGGUGAGGGUUGCCACGCUGCGGGCAAUUAUUUCAUCCUCCUGGAGUGGCGGCUGGCACCUUCCCAUCUGCUCCGGGGUCACAGACCACAGCUGGGGAUGGCCUUCACCCUUUUCUAGCACCUGCUUUGCCCUCUCUACAGAGUAAAUCCCCAGACUUCCACGGCACGAAACUGUGUUGCUUACUGAGCUAAGUGGUCCUUUUGCUGCCCAGAAUUGGGGAGGAAAAUCUGUGCUUCUGCUUCUCAUAUGCAUUUGCAACCAACAGCCUGUGUUAGCCCUAUCUUGAUGCCAGCUUUCAGAGGAAACGGGUGCUACCCACUCCUCAGUCUUUGCAGGAGGCAGGGAGCCCGCAUGUUAAAGUUGGGUUGUUUCGUGCCUUUCCCCAAGCAACCUGGGUUCCAGUUUUCUGGGGUUUGCUGAAGGUAGCUACCACUUCUUCAUCAGCCUUCAGCUUCCAAACAUGAUGUUGCUGAGGUUCCCUCUCACUUUUGCUUGGUCCUUAAUUCAAGCAUGAAAAUUUCAGUGUAACUGCAAUGGUAUCUUGAAGCCACUGAGGCUAAGGCUUGUGUUCCAUCUGCCAUCUUCAAUCAGAAGUCUGUUAACCUUACUUCCCGCUGAAAGGAAGCUGGGGGAACCAAGAACUUGGUUGAAGCCUGAAAAACCUGAGCCUAAGUUCCAACCCCUUCCACCGGAGCGCAUUUCCUCUCUGGGGACACAGGCCACCCUCCAGCAGGAGUCCCCUGUGAGAGGUGUGCUCCACUUUGAAGCCGGAGCCUGAGUAAACAGCAUCAGAGUGCAGGACGCAGGUGAUCUCUUCAACGAUACUGCUGCCUCACCCCAUUCUGUACGCUGUCCCGAGCAUCCCAGGACUUUUGCUCGGUCCUCUGACCCUUGUUGGAAGGGUUCUUAACAGGGAAAGGAUGGGGUUCUACAGUGGGGCUCUUUCUCUUGCUUGCCUGACAAUACGACUGUCAACUAUAACCAUUCCUAGUAAUCAGAAUACUUGUGAGAGAUCUAGAUGCCCCUUCAUGCAAGUCUGGGGUCUUUUUGUUUUUUUAAACCAAAAACACAAUGAAGGGAUGUGGUUAAGCCCUCACUCACCGAUCCUCUUUGCUCGUCUUUUGUGAGUAGCUUAGACAGUGGCUGCCCAGCCCGUCCUGCGGACCCCACUAUACAGACAGAUCUGUCCUCCAGAGCCCAGUGGAUAAGACCACAGGGUACAAACCAUGGGAACUGGGGCUUGAUUCCCAGCUUUGUCACAUACUACCAGUGUGGACUUUGGGCAAGUUACCCAAGUUCUCUAGGCCUUGGUUUCUUAUCUACAAGGUAGUAAUAUCUAUGCAUUCACUGAGGGAUUGGCAUCUCUUCAAAGGAGAUACCACAUGGUAAGCUCUAAACAUAGCAUCUGGUCUGGUGUCAAGCACGACAUCACAGGUGGCAUUGCUGGGACUGGAGCCCCAUAGUCAGGAUACACUGUGCCCGGCCCUCUGCACAGGCCCCUGGGCUUACCGGAAGUAGUGACCUCAAAGUGACCAGGGUUGCUCCCAGCUACUCAGCUUCCAGACAGUACAUACAUCAGACAGAAAUUUUGGUUAUGUAAAACUUUAAAUGAGUGAAAUGAUGCAAGCCACUUUAAGGAUACCGGAGAUAAACGAUCUAUUUAUAUUUUUAUGGGGAAGACAUAAAUAGAAAAAACACAGCACCCAAAGAAAUGUUCCUUGAAAUAUAUGUACAGCAUGGAUGAAGGAGACGCAGAGAACAAACAGAUGCUAACUAUAUACCUUCUCACAUCAGCCAUAACUCUGUAAGACUCGUUAAUUCAAAGACAUUUAUCAGGCACAGUUACAAUCACAAAAAUUAACCCUCUGGCAAGCUGGGCACAGUGCACGUCAGCGAUUGCUUUUAAAAGACUUUUUGCUGUAAGUCUGCUAAAAGAGAACAGCAAAGAGCUCCUAAAUCCCAGCCCUAUUGAUCCACAGACACCGUAAGUACAUGGGACCAUUUAUUCACUCAGUGAAUAUUUACUAGGUGACUGCAGAGUGCCAAGGUCUGUCCUUACUCUGAGGACAGCACACAAGAACAGGGACAAAAUUCCCAUCUCCACAGGGUGCAUCUGCUAGUGAGGAAAGGUAGACACUAAAUAUGCUCAUCGAUAUUUUUAAAUAACUAAAAUUUCUAUAAAGAAAAGCUAAAAAAAAGUUGUAGAUUUGAAUGAUACAGUAUUUCAAUUAAAGAGGGUUCUGUAAAAAAGAGAAAAAAUAAUCCAGCCUUUGGAUUUGAAGUCUUUGAAGUGUAGAGGACAGAAAAAAAGGCGAGGCAAAAGAUAAGAAAGAAGGCAUCAAAAAGGAGGUGAAGGAGUCCUGUGGUUCACGAAGCAGGACCCACAGCAGGACACUCAGCCCGACAACCCGGGUCCAAACCCCUCCCACGGUAGUGAAUGCAUCCGGAACCACAGGACAGAGCAGUGCCUCUGGCGGGGAGCCCCUGGAUCCGGGGUGCAGACACCUGGUAGGGUUAGGAGGAGGCCAGGUGGCUGCCAAGGGACUUCAGGGAGGGCGCCUGACCUGGGGGGAUUCACUCCCCACUGCAGCACACGACUGCCACCUCUGGAAUUAUCCAAUGUGUCCCAGACUCCACACCAGCCACACAAGGAUUUGUUUGUUUGCAAUGAGAGAUGUGACUAUCUUUAAUUCCAGAAGACAGUGGGUCCCAUACUUUGUGCAUAUGAAUUCAUUUAAUUCUCACAACCAUCCGAAUACCACAGAAAACACAGUUAUCGCCUGGAAUUGAGGCACAGAGAAAUUCAAAUAACAGCACGUGAGCACAGAGCUGUGAUUCAGGUCCAAGGAGUUCGGCUCCACACGCUUGCCGUGGUUUCACCUUAUACUGCAUGCUGACCCAAAGAGCUGAAAGCUGAGUGCGUCUAGAAAUCUGUCUGGGCCUCGAACUGUGUAGUGUCCUUCAUUGAUUAUUCCAGAGAACUUGAAGUACGCGCUUGUAUUUCCCUGCCUCUAACGCUCGUCCUUCCCUGCCUGACCUUCUGGAAACGGGAUGCUUCCAUUUGCACCUGGGUUUGCUCUGCUGUUUAAAGGACAAAGGGCAGACUCCUCUCAUUUUCCAAACGAAGGAAGCAGUGAUUUGGGAGUGACUGAAACAAGCUCUACAGUCUCCACGAGGACGCGGAAAGCAGCGGUGGUCAGUCACCAUGCGUCCCAGCGUCUGAUGUUAGUUUCCAUUUUAUUCUGAGACCAUGGCUGAUUACGCUGAAUUCUAGUUUCAAUUCCAUGUCUUCCUCCUCACCUUUGCGGUCUAGCUCUUGGACCAAAGCAGCUGAUGAGUAUGUAUUGAUUAUCCGCUACAUGUCAAACGCUACACUAAAGAGCCAGAGAUGAGUAAGGCACUGGUCCCCAUCAGGGAGGGAAGGGAGGAGGAGCAAGAGGCCUGAGGUCAGUCUCACCACUGGGCGCAGCAUGGAGGAGUGGACCCAGCUCACUGGUACGAGUCACCAGGAAGAGCAAACAGUUGUGCCCUUACCAGCCGCAGGUAAGGAACACGGGCAAUGAAACAGAGCCAAAAUGACACUGGCCACGGUUCUCACCCCCCAGCCAGUCAGGGCUGAAAACCAGCGAGGAGACCCGGGGUGGGGUUGGGAUGGGGGUCCUCUCGCCUCUUUCCUACUCUGGUGCAAUUAUUUGUGAGGAGUUAGGAACAACCUACUAAUUACGGAAACAGAUUUACAUUCCAGGCCCUGUUAGGAAUGCUUCAUGGGACACCUGCCCUGCUCAGGAGAAGACAGGUCACUAACUGAAGUCCAAGACUGGCCAUGGCAGAGAGCACUGGGGGCUGUGCAGUCCCAGCCUCCUCAGUGGACAGGUGGGAAGGGGCCCAUGAGCUGACGUGGCCGGUCACCCGGCUGGCUGGUAACAGCCACUGCCGCUGGGCAUGGUCCUCUCUAGUUCUCACUGCCAUCUUGUAGCCGAGGUGUUAGGGGCAGCUGAGAUAACUUGCAAAACAGUGGGAUACCACAGGAAUAAAGAUGCCAUUUAAAAAGCCCUCAAGAAAGACCCACAGGGACCCUGAGAAAAUCUUGCAGAUUUUACCUUGUAUUUCCCUGCUCUCUACCUGAUCAGUUCCAGCUUCUUAUUCUACUGGAAAACUCACUAUCUUAAUCUGCCAAACCAUCAGAGACUUACACUGAGAAAUACUGGCUGGGCCCCAAGAACAGGACAGCCCCUGGCUUCCUUCCUAUCCCCUGCUUCCAUGAAAUUGAGAGUGGGGAGAAAAAAACCAACUUGUAAAAACGUGUCACUCUUUGAAUGGGGAAUGAGACAGCCACUCACCACAGGGCACUAAAGACAGCAGAGCUGAGAGGGUGUUGGUGUUGUUGUUGUUGGUGGUGUUGUUGUUGAAAAGCCUCCGGUUUAUUUAGCCUGCAGCUUCUGAACAUACGAAGCCUGUGCAGUUUACUUUGAUUUGUCACCCACGCCAGUUUUGUGAAGCACCAGGUCCACUGAGCGCACCCACUGACUGUGCCAGCCAACACAUUUGUCAGGACAAAGGAGGGUCCCAGCCCUUCUGCAACCAGAGCGCCUUCCUCACACCCAGGGCCUUCCCCACUGCUGUGCUCACAGCCUGGAUACUUCAGAGGAUGGAGAAGCAGGAAAUGGCAGUAAAUGAGAGGCAACCCUGCCUUUCAGCUUUCAUCCCUGUCAUUCCUGAAUGAAUCUGUAAAACCCGCCUGAGUGUGGGGACCAAGAAGGGGCUGGGCACUCGUCCCUCAUCCCUUAGGGUUUGUUAAUCUCUUUACACUCUCUUCCAAGGUAAUAUUCAAAUAAACCACAUGGCUCAA